rnacentral:rRNA from 1 species
UACGUAGGGUGCGAGCGUUGUCCGGAAUUAUUGGGCGUAAAGAGCUUGUAGGCGGUCUGUCGCGUCUGCUGUGAAAAUCCGGGGCUCAACCCCGGACUUGCAGUGGGUACGGGCAGACUAGAGUGUGGUAGGGGAGACUGGAAUUCCUGGUGUAGCGGUGAAAUGCGCAGAUAUCAGGAGGAACACCAAUGGCGAAGGCAGCUCGCUGGGGACGGUACUGACGCUGAGACGCGAAAGCGUGGGGAGCAAACAGGAUUGAGAAACCC